GACGAACGCUGGCGGCGUGCCUAACACAUGCAAGUCGAACGGAACUGUUUUGAAAGAUUUCUUCGGAAUGAAUUUGAUUUAGUUUAGUGGCGGACGGGUGAGUAACGCGUGAGUAACCUGCCUUCAAGAGGGGGAUAACAUUCUGAAAAGAAUGCUAAUACCGCAUGAUAUAUCGGAACCACAUGGUUUUGAUAUCAAAGAUUUUAUCGCUUGAAGAUGGACUCGCGUCCGAUUAGUUAGUUGGUGAGGUAACGGCUCACCAAGACCGCGAUCGGUAGCCGGACUGAGAGGUUGAACGGCCACAUUGGGACUGAGACACGGCCCAGACUCCUACGGGAGGCAGCAGUGGGGGAUAUUGCGCAAUGGGGGCAACCCUGACGCAGCAACGCCGCGUGAAGGAUGAAGGUUUUCGGAUUGUAAACUUCUUUUAUUAAGGACGAAA
rnacentral:rRNA from 1 species